rnacentral:ncRNA from 1 species
GUUGAUGCGAAGAUGGAGAGUAUAAUUUUAUCAACUUAAGUUACAGAGAGUCGAUGUUUGCUGAGAGUCGAUACUAAGUAAAAGUUACAAAUCACUCCAGAGCUGCUUGCCAGAACAAAGUAAGGGAAGCCGGUUAGCCCCGAUAGAAGGCUUAGGUUUUAACGAACCGAAAAUAGAGGUAUCUUUUUUUAAGAUACAAUUAAGGUGGUACCGCGAUUAACACUCGUCCUUGGA